rnacentral:rRNA from 1 species
GACAGAGGCCUCGAGCGUUAGGCGGAAUCACUGGGCUUAAAGCGCGUGUAGGCGGAUCGUUAAGUGCCUUGUGAAAUCCUGCGGCUCAACCGCAGAACUGCUGGGCAUACUGGCGAUCUUGGGCCACUCAGGGGUCACUGGAACAAGCGGUGGAGCGGUGAAAUGCGUAGAUAUCGCUUGGAACGCCAAUGGUGAAAACAGGUAGCUGGGGCUGUGCUGACGCUGAGACACGAAAGCCAGGGGAGCGAACGGG